UAGCCAAGGCUGCCUGGAAAGAUUACAAGAUUGCAGGGCUAAUCAUGACUGACAGUAAAGAAGUGGCGUGACAACAUAUUUGCAGGGUUCCCUUAUCCAGCAUCCCAGAAGAAAUGUCAAAUGUGCCUUUAAUCCAGACAGCUCACAGGGUGGAUUCGCCGGAGCAAACACCCUAAUAACAGUCAGACGGGACUUCUGACACCGCCGUGCUCCUGACUGGUUUGAUUCGAGGUUGUUGACAAGGUCAGCGGUAACUUGCAGAGAGCGUGUCAUGACGGACUGCAGAGUUGCUCCUGACUCAUCUGUGCAUGUCAUGUCGCAAGAAUGUGAGUUUGUUUUGCAAAAAGACAAAAGAAAAAAGUCAUUAUGGCUUCAAUCAUAUUUGAAGGUCUUUAACAAAAGCACAC